AUUGAACGCUGGCGGCAGGCCUAACACAUGCAAGUCGAACGAGUGGCGGACGGGUGAGUAAUGUCUGGGAAACUGCCCGAUGGCGGGGGAUAACUACUGGAAACGGUAGCUAAUACCGCAUACCAUCGGAUGUGCCCAGAUGGGAUUAGCUCGUAGGUGGGGUAAUGGCUUACCUAGGCGACGAUCCCUAGCUGGUCUGAGAGGGUGACCGGCCAGGCUGGAACUGAGACACGGUCCAGACACCUACGGGAGGCAGCAGUGGGGAAUAUUGAACAAUGGGCGCAAGCCUGAUGCAGCCAUGCCGCGUGUAUGAAGAAGGCCUUCGGGUUGGAGAAUACUUUCAGCGAGGGGGCGUUACUCGCAGAAGAAGCGCCGGCUAACUCCGUGCCAGCAGCCGCGGUAAUAC
rnacentral:rRNA from 1 species